UACGUAGGGGGCAAGCGUUGUCCGGAAUCAUUGGGCGUAAAGAGCGUGUAGGCGGCCAGAUAAGUCCGCUGUGAAAUCUCGAGGCUCAACUUCGAGCUGUCGGUGGAAACUGUCUGGCUAGAGUCCGGAAGAGGAGAAUGGAAUUCCUGGUGUAGCGGUGAAAUGCGUAGAUAUCUGGAGGAAUACCGGUGGCGAAGGCGGCAUCCUGGACCGGCAUUGACGCUGAACAGCGAAAGCUAGGGGAGCAAACGGG
rnacentral:rRNA from 1 species